GCGCCCGUAGCUCAGUUGGAUAGAGCAACUGGCUUCGAACCAGUAGGUCGCAGGUCCGAGUCCUGCCGGGCGCGCCA
rnacentral:tRNA from 1 species